GGAAAUAAUUGUAAUUUUUUAAAUCUGAAAAGUGUCAAUCUAAUUUACCCAGCGAUGAAUUAUUUCUUCGCGGCGCUCUAAAUCCCAGCAGCAGCAGCUACUCCAAAAAAAUCUCCGCCAAAACCCUAGAAAAAUCGUCAUGGCCCCGAAGAAGGAAAAGGCUCCGCCAUCGUCGAAGCCAGCGAAAUCUGGCGGAGGAAAGCA